CAGCCGCCGCGGUAAUACGAAGGGGGCUAGCGUUGCUCGGAAUGACUGGGCGUAAAGGGCGCGUAGGCGGCGAUCAAAGUCAGGCGUGAAAUUCCUGGGCUCAACCUGGGGGCUGCGCUUGAUACUUGGUUGCUUGAGUGGGGAAGAGGGUCGUGGAAUUCCCAGUGUAGAGGUGAAAUUCGUAGAUAUUGGGAAGAACACCGGUGGCGAAGGCGGCGACCUGGUCCUUGACUGACGCUGAGGCGCGAAAGCGUGGGGAGCAAACAGGGUUAGAUACCCCCGUAGUCCCUGUCUCUUAUAC
rnacentral:rRNA from 1 species